rnacentral:tRNA from 1 species
AUUAUAAUGGCAGAUAAGUGCAUAGAAUUUAAGCUUCUAAUAUGAGUAUUCCUCUUAUAAUA